GGGGUAAGUGGCGGCGGCUAUAAUGCAGUCGAGCGAACAGAUAAGGAGCUUGCUCCUUUGACGUUAGCGGCGGACGGGUGAGUAACACGUGGGUAACCUACCUAUAAGACUGGGAUAACUUCGGGAAACCGGAGCUAAUACCGGAUAACAUUUGGAACCGCAUGGUUCUAAAGUGAAAGAUGGUUUUGCUAUCACUUAUAGAUGGACCCGCGCCGUAUUAGCUAGUUGGUAAGGUAACGGCUUACCAAGGCAACGAUACGUAGCCGACCUGAGAGGGUGAUCGGCCACACUGGAACUGAGACACGGUCCAGACUCCUACGGGAGGCAGCAGUAGGGAAUCUUCCGCAAUGGGCGAAAGCCUGACGGAGCAACGCCGCGUGAGUGAUGAAGGGUUUCGGCUCGUAAAACUCUGUUAUUAGGGAAGAACAAAUGUGUAAGUAACUGUGCAGAUCUUGACGGUACCUAAUCAGAGGGCCACGGCUAACUACGUGCCGGCAGCCGCGGUAAUACGUAGGUGGCAAGGAUUAUCCGGAAUUAUUGGGCGUAAACGCUCGUGGAGUGUGCUGGGGUGGGGGAUGGGAGCCGCCGGGGGGAU
rnacentral:rRNA from 1 species